rnacentral:rRNA from 1 species
CGGAGGGUGCAAGCGUUAUCCGGAUUCACUGGGUUUAAAGGGUGCGUAGGCGGGCAGGUAAGUCCGUGGUGAAAUCUCUGAGCUUAACUCAGAAACUGCCAUGGAUACUAUUUGUCUUGAAUAUUGUGGAGGUAAGCGGAAUAUGUCAUGUAGCGGCGAAAUGCUUAGAUAUGACAUAGAACACCAAUUGCGAAGGCAGCUUACUACACAGUUAUUGACGCUGAGGCACGAAAGCGUGGGGAUCAAACAGGAUUAGAUACCCUGGUAGUCCACGCCCUAAACGAUGAUUACUCGACAUCAGCGAUACACUGUUGGUGUCUGAGCGAAAGCAUUAAGUAAUCCACCUGGGAAGUACGAUCGCAAGAUUG